rnacentral:rRNA from 1 species
UACGUAGGGUGCGAGCGUUGUCCGGAAUUAUUGGGCGUAAAGGGCUCGUAGGCGGUUUGUCGCGUCGGGAGUGAAAACACCGGGCUUAACUCGGUGCUGGCUUUCGAUACGGGCAGACUAGAGGUAUUCAGGGGAGAACGGAAUUCCUGGUGUAGCGGUGAAAUGCGCAGAUAUCAGGAGGAACACCGGUGGCGAAGGCGGUUCUCUGGGAAUGUCCUGACGCUGAGGAGCGAAAGCGUGGGGAGCGAACAGG